AAAAUGUUUUAUUUUAGCUAAAAAUUAAGUUUAUUUUUUAUUAAAUAUGUAUAAUUUAAUUAAAUUUAGAUAGUUAAAAUUGCAGUGAUUCAUAUUAGUAAUAUUAAAGUAAAUUAGAUCUAGGAAAAAAGUUAAAUAUUAACAAUAUUUGUGCCAGCAGUUGCGGUUAUACAAAUGAUAUAACUUAAUUUUUUUAGUUUUAAUUAAUAUAGAAAUAUAAAAAUUUAUAAUUAAUUUUAUUAGGUGAAAUUUUAAAAUUUUUUAAAUUUUAUUAUUGUUUAUGAAGUUAGGAAAUUUAGAAUUAAACUAGGAUUAGAUACCCUAUUAUUAUAAAUGUAAUUUUAAAAAAUUAGAUAAUUAAUAGUUAAGUUCUUUAAAAUUAAAAAAUUUGGCGGUAUUUUAGUCUAUUUAGAGGAACCUGUCCUAUAAUUGAUAAUCCACGUUUAAAAUUACUUAUUUUAUUAGUUUACAUAUCGUCGUAGUUUGAAUAUUUUUAUAGAAUUAAAAUAUUCUAAAUUUUUUAAAAAAAAAUAAAUCAGAUCAAGGCGUAGCUUAUAAAUAAGAAGUGAUGGGUUACAUUAAAAUUAUUUGUUGGAUUAAUAAAUGAAAUUUUAUUAUAAAAAUGGAUUUAAAAGUAAUUUUAAUUAAUUAUUUAAAAUGAUUUAGCUCUAAAAUAUGUACAUAUUGCCCGUCGCUUUCAUUUUAAAAUGAAAUAAGUCGUAACAAAGUAGGUGUACUGGAAAGUGUACCUAGAAAGAA
rnacentral:ncRNA from 1 species